rnacentral:tRNA from 1 species
UCCCUGGUGGCUCAGACAGUAAAGCGUCUGCCUGCAAUGCGGGAGACCCAGGUUCAAUCCUUGGGUUGGGAA